AUGAGGCAAAGUAUCAAAGUGAUAGAACAAAGUGGCUGGAGGAGAAAAUGACACUCAUACAUCAAGGAAAAGAAGCUGAGAUCCUUCACAACAGGGAAAUGAGAAAAUUUGAGGAGGAAAGAGAGCACCACGUAAAGAAACAAGCAGAAAUUGAAAGUCUUGCUGCUGCACAGCUGGCAGAAAAGGACAGCAGUCUUCAAAAGUAGCAUGAAGAAAGAGAUAAAUUAGUAGAAGCUUUGGAAAUACAGCUCAAGACUUUGGUUUCUAACACCACACAAAAAGAUAAGGAAAUAGCAGAACUGAAACAGGCUGCACUAAAGGAUUUGGGAAAGGCUAAGGAAACUGAUACAGAAGAACUAAGGAAACAGCUGGCUGAGAAAGAUGACUUUAUAAAGGAGCUGAAACAGCAGGUUAACUAUGAAAGUCUUCUGUCUAUGGCAGAAGUACCUUUACCAGAAGAAGGACUAUCUGAAAUAGAUCAGACUGUAAACAAAGAGGACCAUUCUGAAAUUGCGCUUGACUCGUCUGAAGUGUCUACAGAAAAUGGAAAAACUAGUCAGUUCACAAAACCAGAGAUAAAAAUCCAGUUCACACCUUUGCAACCCAGUAAGAUGGAGGUGAAGCACCAGGGCAGCCCCAUACCAGUUACAGUUAAAAUGCUCAAGCCAAGAAAGAAAAGAAAAAGUGAAGAGAUGGAUGAGGUAUGCCCUAGACCAACUGA